rnacentral:misc_RNA from 1 species
GGGAAAAACGCUUGCCUUGAAAUAAAAAUCAUUUCAUAAUUACCGCAAUAUGCAAGGGACCUGAUCAUUACAUUGUUGUCGCAUUAAUUUACACAGGCAUGAUGGUGAUAGAAAACUACCAGAGGAGAACAUGAAGAAAAACUGUUUUGAUCUUGAACAUCAAAAUUAAGCACAUUAUCAAUGUAUGACACAAGUAAAUAGUUUGCACAAAAUUCGGCGCGUCGACAGUCGAUCAACUUCCAAACUUCAUACUCGAGACUUCUUAGAAAGUUGUAUAUCAUCAUCAUAAUGGCCACCAUCACCAUUCUCCUCCAUUUUCUUCCUCGCCAGUAUCUUAUUAAUCUGGUGCAACUCAUUAUUGAGCUUCUGAUCCUUGUUUUGUUUUCGUGUCUUCCGACCAUCUUGCAUCUUCACACCAAACUGAAAUGCAGCUUUUGGCAUUGCUUCCUUCUGCUCAUUGUAUUUUGCCCAUUCCUCUUCUGUCUCAAAGUCCCAUCGAUGAAGACGACCUUUUGCCUGUUGAAGAGUAAUUAGACUAUAAUUAGCACCCACUAAUAAAAUUAUUUGGAUUUAUACCAGUAAACCUUAUCAAGGUCCCACUGGAGCUGUACAAAGACUAUCUUCAUUCACAUCACACAAAGCCACAAGCAGGUUCAUGUAAGAGAUGAAAAGUGCAUGGUAAUAUGGCAUAUAUGACUAUUAAAAAACCUCCCAGCAGGUAUCUCUCUCUUUAGCAAAAGUAAAAGAGACUGAUUCUGAGAUAGAUCACUUACUCGUCCACCCAUAUCCAUUUUAGACAAGUCAUCUUCAUCAUCGCUGUCCACAAUCUCACGAUUAUACUCUUGAUACCCAGGGUAACAUUCAGAAUAACUCUCAGAAAUAAAAUUGGGAUCCUUUUCUCUGGCAUCUUUCUCCCUCAAUUGCUGAAGCCUCUGAUCAUCUCGCUUGAACACCGACCCUAAACCUCGAUCCUUCUCUUCUUGGGUCAUGAAGCGUGGGUCCUGAACAAUGUUUGAAGCUGCUUGCAUGUCAUAUGCCUGCACUGUUUGCUGGAGAUACUGUUCAGGAUAUGCCAACUGCUCAGCAUAUUGGUAAUCUUGCCACUCUCCCUGGUAGCCACUAGCCAAUGCUUGAACUUGCACUGCAUCAUAUCCAUUCAGGUCUUG